GAUAAUCUGAAGAAAAAAAACCCAUCUUCCAGAAAACGGAUAUUACUCAAUAGGUUUAAUUGAAUGCUCCAGUUCUUUUCAUUUCCGAAGUUAUGGUGAGAAGAACUAAGUGGAAAAUGGUGAUAAAUUACCUGAUAUGCAAAAGCGCAUUCUGCUAAAUGGAAGACAUCCUCAAUUCUGUUGGAGGGGCAGUUACUAUUGAAAUGCAUAAAUGUUUGAGACUAAAUAUUUUCAUAAUACUGUUUUCUCUCCACACCAAGUACUUUUCUCCUGUUUAUAUUGGUAGAAUAUCACAGUUUGUUUGGAUUAAAGUGUAACUUAAAUGUGCACUACAUAAAUUUUGAGAAGAGCUCUACCCCAUGAGAUUUUUUUUUUCUUUUCUUUUCUUUUUUUUUUUUUUGAGAUGGAGUCUCACCCUGUCGCCCAGGCUGGAAUGCAGUGGCACAAGCUCGGCUCACUGCAAGCUCCACCUCAUGGUUCACGCCAUUCUUCUGCCUCAGCCUCCCAAGUAGCUGGGACUACAGGCACCCGCCACCAUGCCUGGCUAAUUUUUUUGUAUUUUUAUUAGAGAUGGGGUUUCACUGUGUGUUAGCCAGGAUGGUCUCGAUCUCCUGACCUCGUGAUCCGCCUGCCUUGGCCUCCCAAAGUGCUGGGAUUACAGGUGUGAGCUACCGCACCUGGCCCCCAUGAGAUUCCUAAUAUCAUUUGUGCCAUGACAUUGUGCUACACCCAAAUGUAUAUUUUAUUUUAUCAUUUCAAAAUAAUUCAAUAAAUAUAAUUUUAAAAGCAAACAC
rnacentral:lncRNA from 1 species